GGGGCAAGCACCGGUGGCUAAUUGGACCGAAGCCCGGGCGCCUGAGCCGCCCAGGGGAUCCCCGGGGCAGCGGGAGGCUGGUGGGGCAGAGAAACUUUGACUUAUUCUCACAUAGUAGUUACUUGGCAAAUGUGACCAUUGUUUUGGAAUGAGAAUUCAUGUGUUGCACCAUACUCUGGCUUAUAAAAAACCUUAUAUUUAAUAAAACCUCUGAUACAGGGAAAUUGCUUGUUAAUUCAGCUGAUUCAGGAAGAUCUUUGCUGAAUAUUUUCAUGGCAAAAGGACUUCUACUUACUCCCAGUAAGGAAGCAGAAAUAGGAAAGAUGAAAAAGGUUUGAAAACCAUAAGACAAUCUUAAGCAUUUUUACUGACUACGGAGCCAUCAUAACCAAAACCAAAAACUGAAGUUGAAACUUUGCAGGAGGCAGGAGAGAGCAAACCAUGCCCUUUGUACAGACAGCAUGUUUGGACUUGGUUUGGGAAGGAUGAGAGCUGCAGUCUGUAGCACACAGCACAGAUUGCAGGUGAGCAUCUGUGGCAGCAGACAGCUCUGUGAACACAGUCAUUUUGAUGAAAACAAGUGUUUGAGCACUUUUAUACAUUGGCAUUGUUAGAAAUUAUAUUCCAAGUAUGAGUGACCUGAAAACUGCUUUUAAAUUUUUUCUAUCCUCUAGGACUUCUGCAAAGAAUUUUUUGUAGAUCUCUAGGGGCUUUGUGGUUACAGAUCUCUUGAUUUGUAGGUAGUGUAUCAACUGCAAAAACUGCUUUCCUUUUAAGGAAAAACUUCUUAUAGAGGUGUCUUUUCUAGGUUUACGAAAAAUGUCCAGCUUUAUUGUAAAAGUGGUGUGCUCACUUCUACAUUUUAACUGUCUUGGGAUUUUCAGACCAGAAAUAAAAUUUUGAUUAUAGUUUCGUAUUGAUACACACUUCUUUUAAACGUGCUUGAAAGUUUCAUAAAAUUAUUUCAAACUUGUCAUAAAGUUGUAAAGACAAAGCUUAUUAAUUCUAAAUUACAUUGAGUCUUUUUCUUCUCUCAGUUGUACACUCUUGAGGAUGGUGGAGCUUUACUAGUAUGAUGCAUCAAGCCAGGGGCAGUGCAGGUGUUAAUUACAUUUGUAAAAGUAGUAAUUAAAUAGUUUUAAGUAAUUAAAUAGUUUUUACUUCACACAGAGACCAGGAACUCCAUGCAAUAAAUUAAUUGAAUUUAGAAGUCGGAAAAUAAGAGAAUAAAUCUGGAUUGCAGAAGGCACUGCCAGAAAUCUGUGACUAGAGUGGUUGGAAAAUAAAUUAUACUCUUUUCACACACCUUUCUUAGUCACUGUUUCAUUUAAUCAUGAAAAGGGAGGUUGGACUAGAUGUCCUUUUAAAAUUCUGUUCCAAACAAACGCAUUCUGUGGUGAUUCUGUAUAGGCAUGGACAAGCCUGCAUCAGCUAGUACAUAUCAGUUUUAUCAGUGCAGUAUAAUUCAUCACUAUUUCUACAGCUCCUCUGCAGCCUUA